rnacentral:rRNA from 1 species
CCUACGGGGGGCAGCAGUGGGGAAUAUUGGACAAUGGGGGCAACCCUGAUCCAGCCAUGCCGCGUGUGUGAAGAAGGCCCUCGGGUUGUAAAGCACUUUCAGUGAGGAAGAACGCCUGGUGGUUAAUACCCAUCAGGAAAGACAUCACUCACAGAAGAAGCACCGGCUAACUCCGUGCCAGCAGCCGCGGUAAUACGGAGGGUGCGAGCGUUAAUCGGAAUUACUGGGCGUAAAGCGCGCGUAGGUGGCUUGAUAAGCCGGUUGUGAAAGCCCCGGGCUCAACCUGGGAACGGCAUCCGGAACUGUCAAGCUAGGGUGCAGGAGAGGAAGGUAGAAUUCCCGGUGUAGCGGUGAAAUGCGUAGAGAUCGGGAGGAAUACCAGUGGCGAAGGCGGCCUUCUGGACUGACACUGACACUGAGGUGCGAAAGCGUGGGUAGCAAACAGGAUUAGAUACCCUGGUAGUC